GCCUAUCACCAAACAUUUAAAGGGUAGGUCAGUGUCCUGGGAAGGAGGAGGAGGAGGAACAGGAGAGGGAAACAGGGGAAGGAGAGAAACUCAGCCCAGGAGUUAAUAUAAACUACAAGCACGCAGACGCCCAGGAAAGUUGAGGCACAGCAUCUGCUCAAGUGGCUGCUCUAUACAAAGUUGGGAAGCAAUGGGAGGUCAUAGAAUGGGAAUUAGAAGAUUGGUCCCCACUUUCCAAUAGAAAGGACCAGCAUGAUAGCCACCGUUUUUGACAAGAUACGACUGUCAUGGAUCAGCCUUGAACUGUCUCAUGAGGGUAACUGGAAACCGAUGUCCUCACUGCAGGAGAAUAUGUGGGUCAAGAAUAGGUCUCUUCAGCCACCUAAGAACCCACACCCAAGACACCAAGGACGGAAGACAAUCAUCCUCGAGCUACGAGGGAUCGCCUAACUAAGUA
rnacentral:lncRNA from 11 species